CUAGUCUCCUAGCACUGGCUCCACAAGUCAGUCUCCCGUCCAGGAUGACAUUCUUCUAUUUUACAUGGACUGCACUGGUCUUCCUCUCCCUGCAGAAGUGUGCUCUGGCUGACUGGCAUCGCCAUAACGCCACCGUUAAUGGAUAUGCGAAGGGAGCGGCUUGUGUGUUUCCCUUUACCUACACGUCUCGUGUUUAUUAUGUGUGCAUCAAUGACUUUCAUCACACAGACUGGUGUUCAAUAGAACCUGUAUAUGAACCGACGAAACUAUGGGGAGAGUGUCCACCAAAAGGUUUGAGCUUUUUUACACUUUUUUUUUUUUUAAACUCUGUAAUUUUUGUGAUACGGCGAGUAUUUAAUAAUGUCCUGAGUAUAGUAAACAUUUAUUUUUGUGUGUGUUGGAAGCACAAAUCCGUGUGUAGCAUUUCAUGUUUUUUCACUGAUGUUUAUGGUGGUUUAUGCAAGUUAUCCCUUCUGGUUAGACAUGGACUUGUUAUGGUUUCAGUUUACUGUCACUGUUGCUUACAGUAUUUGUGAAGUGGGACAGUUUUUGCACUGAUAACCUGGUGCAAUUACAUCUUGUCCUUGUUCAACAUUACUUUCUCUCACCCUUCAAACAAACACACACACACACACACACACACACACAC